ACGGGAGGCAGCAGUAGGGAAUAUUGGGCAAUGGGCGAGAGCCUGACCCAGCCAUGCCGCGUGCAGGAAGAAGGCUUUCUGAGUCGUAAACUGCUUUUGACAGGGAAGAAUAAGCACUACGUGUACUGUGAUGACGGUACCUGCAGAAUAAGCACCGGCUAACUCCGUGCCAGCAGCCGCGGUAAU
rnacentral:rRNA from 1 species